UGUGUGUGUGUGUGUGUGUGUGUGUGUGUGUGUGUGUUGGCCUGGGCGUGGCUCUCCUGGGUCCCAGCACCACACUCUUGGUUGCAAUCAGCUCAUCACCUCUCCCAGUCUGCUCACCUGCCUCUCAUCAUUUCAUCAGCUUGCAGUAUAUCUACCCCGGCUCUUCAUUCACUCAUCACCAGAUCGUUGUUUCUGCCCAAGUGUGCCCCUGGACCAUUACUCGCCUGCCUGCCUGCCUGCCAGGUUGCCAGCUCUCCAGCCCACUACCACCUACUCCCUCCUGCCUGCCCUUGCCAUUCUCCCUCACUCCUCUCAGCCCUCCAGUCCUCAGCCUCAGCCUGCUUCAUCCCCACUCCAUCCACCUCAACUUCCCCCCACUUCCCUGACAAUAAAGCCUUACUUCAAUUAACAUCA